rnacentral:misc_RNA from 1 species
GGCUAUGAAAAUGAAAUGAGGUGGCUAAGUGUUCAGUCUCCACUGUCCACUCCAUUUGGGUUUAUUUAGCUUUUUACUUAUUUUCCUGGUUUUAUUGAUGUAAGAUUGGUUUUCAGUACCUAUAUGGAGUAAUCAAGAAAACAAGGGUAUUAUGAGGAAUGAACUUAGUGAAGUAUAUCAAGAGAGUGCAUUGGCUUGUUCUUGUAGCAUUGAUUAUGCAAACUCUUUGUCUUUCAAUCGGUCUACAGAACUAGCAUCUGAGUAUCACAUUGACUCUUCUUUCUGGGGCUGCUGUGCAUAUUUUUGUGAUAGGGUGUUUAUAUAGAGCUAGUACCUAGAUAGUGGUCCAGUUCACAACCUUUUUGAGUCUCUUCAACUAUAUGCUAUUUUAACACAAUUUUUUAGGUUUCUUCUGUAAUGUUCUAUAUUUAUAUUUUUAUAGUGUCUGCGGACAUGGCUCAUGG